rnacentral:ncRNA from 2 species
CCCGUUAGCUCUGGAGAGCGGUUUAAGCUUAUUGGUUUAAACACACCGAAGAGGAAAGAGGGCGCUCGUUGAUACGGGGUUCUUAAACUUUCAGGUUUUGGACAGAGGGGCGGCA